rnacentral:rRNA from 1 species
UCUACGGGUGGCAGCAGUGAGGAAUAUUGGUCAAUGGCCGUAAGGCUGAACCAGCCAAGUCGCGUGAAGGAAGAAGGAUCUAUGGUUUGUAAACUUCUUUUAUAGGGGAAUAAAGGUAUCCACGUGUGGAUCUUUGCAUGUACCCUAUGAAUAAGCAUCGGCUAACUCCGUGCCAGCAGCCGCGGUAAUACGGAGGAUCCGAGCGUUAUCCGGAUUUAUUGGGUUUAAAGGGAGCGUAGAUGGGUUGUUAAGUCAGUUGUGAAAGUUUGCGGCUCAACCGUAAAAUUGCAAUUGAUACUGGCAGUCUUGAGUACAGUUGAGGUAGGCGGAAUUCGUGGUGUAGCGGUGAAAUGCUUAGAUAUCACGAAGAACCCCGAUUGCGAAGGCAGCUUACUAAACUGUGACUGACAUUGAUGCUCGAAAGUGUGGGUAUCAAACAGGAUUAGAUACCCCAGUAGUC